rnacentral:rRNA from 1 species
AUUGAACGCUGGCGGCAUGCUUUACACAUGCAAGUCGAACGGUAACAGGGUGCUUGCACCGCUGACGAGUGGCGAACGGGUGAGUAAUGCGCCGGAACGUGCCGAGUAGUGGGGGAUAACGCAGCGAAAGUUGUGCUAAUACCGCAUACGUACUGAGGUAGAAAGUGGGGGACCUUCGGGCCUCACGCUAUUCGAGCGGCCGACGUCUGAUUAGCUAGUAGGUGAGGUAAAGGCUCACCUAGACGACGAUCAGUAGCGGGUCUGAGAGGAUGAUCCGCCACACUGGGACUGAGACACGGCCCAGACUCCUACGGGAGGCAGCAGUGGGGAAUUUUGGACAAUGGGCGAAAGCCUGAUCCAGCCAUGCCGCGUGUCUGAAGAAGGCCUUCGGGUUGUAAAGGACUUUUGUCAGGGAGGAAAUCCCUAGUGCUAAUAACACUGGGGGAUGACAGUACCUGAAGAAUAAGCACCGGCUAACUACGUGCCAGCAGCCGCCGUAA